rnacentral:misc_RNA from 1 species
ACGUUUCCGGUUCUGUGAGCAUGGUCGCUUGUGUUUGGUAGAUGUUUCGGUGCCACGAUCUUUUUACCAUUUCCAUUAGACACAAUAAAUUGGUCUGCCAGAACCCUGGUGUUUUUUGAACUGUCUAAUCUGGGUUUAGCUUGGCUGCGCCUGGGCAGCUAAAAUACCUAUUAACAGAAAUUCGCGACAAUGUUAAAAAGGGAAAUCCCUUUAACAGCAUUGUUCAAAGUGGAUCGGAUGAUAACACACUGGACCAAAAUCUAACACUUGAAGACUUCAAGGAUUUUAACUUGUCGUUGAAUGUCAAAAAGGAUUAUGACAUUUGUAAAAGUAUUGUUGCACAAAUUGGUGGCAAUGACUACAAGGACCACAUCAAAAAGGCCAUGCAAAGGUGUAUGACGAACAAAGUAAUGUCAUAUAUGAAUAUUUGUGGGAAGAAAAACAAAUAUGCAUUUUGAGGGUCAAAUUUCUUCAAAUUAGUCAAAGAAGUCAUGAUGAGAAAUUACAAUGUCACAGAAAACCAGGUGGUUGAGGCCACCGCGAAUUAUUUGAAGUGGGCUCCAGAAAGGAAGGACGGUGGUGGCCGGAAGAAAUGACUCUAUGAUAGAACAUAUUUAGUGAUGAAAUUUCUAAUUAAUCACAAUUAUGAAUGGAAUUAAAAUGAUUUAAAUUU